GACGAACGCUGGCGGCGUGCUUAACACAUGCAAGUCGAACGGAAAGGCCCUGCUUUUGUGGGGUGCUCGAGUGGCGAACGGGUGAGUAACACGUGAGUAACCUGCCCUUGACUUUGGGAUAACUUCAGGAAACUGGGGCUAAUACCGGAUAGGAGCUCCUGCUGCAUGGUGGGGGUUGGAAAGUUUCGGCGGUUGGGGAUGGACUCGCGGCUUAUCAGCUUGUUGGUGGGGUAGUGGCUUACCAAGGCUUUGACGGGUAGCCGGCCUGAGAGGGUGACCGGCCACAUUGGGACUGAGAUACGGCCCAGAGUCCAACGGGAGGAAACGGUGGGGAAUAGUGAACAAUGGGCGGAAGCCUGAUGCAGCAACGCCGCGGGCGGGAUAACGGCCUUCGGGUUGUAAACCGUUUUCGCCUGUGACGAAGCGUGAGUGACGGUAAUGGGUAAAGAAGCACCGGCUAACUACGUG
rnacentral:rRNA from 1 species